GCUCAGAUGGUAAAGCAUCUGCCUGCAAUGCAGGAGAUCCAGGUUCGAUCCCCGG
rnacentral:tRNA from 1 species